rnacentral:lncRNA from 10 species
CAAAGUGCUGGGAUUACAGGCGUGAGCCUUUCUUUUCUUAAAUUCUCUCCUGGUCCAGAGGCCCAGGCAGGGCCUUCCCACCCCGAGCAGGAGGGCUUCAAGCCCAAAGCCCUUCAACGAUGCUACUGACUGCGCUCUUAGAUCGGUAUUAAAGCCUCAUCUUUACCCAGAACUCCUGGGGUUCCCCCCAAAGCUGGAGUCUCUCCCUGAGACCCAAUUCUAGUUGAAGCCUUUUUUCAAUAAAACGAAGAUGUCAUCAUUCUAAAUAUUAUUAGGUAUUCUCACUAAGAAAGAUCCAUUUACCACAUUAUCUUAGCUGGCAAAACCUUAUUUUUCUUUUAAUUUCUCUUUGAAGACAUACACCUAUCUUCCUUGUGGAAAAUAACUGCCUGCAGAGGGCUGUCUGUCUGGCACCUCAUUUGAGCAGGCUGUCGGCAAAGACCCUGUCCGCGAAGUACAGUGGAAGUAGCCUGUGGCAUGAACUUGCUGUUCUUCAUAGGAAGGGCCAGAUGGCAUUACUGUGGUCCUCUUCCUCCUUGUCUGGUAGAGUCGCCCUCCACAUGAGGUAGCUGGGGCUGUCCAGAGAAGGAUGCGUGGUACUGAGAGGGGCGGAGCAGCUGAGGGAACAAAGUCAGAGAGACCCAGGAUGACAGAAGAACAAUGGAAAAUAGGGGCUUCCAACCCAGAGGGAUCUCCUAGAACCACACGGUUCUCUGAUACGUUAUUUCCAAGUGAAGCCCACCCUCAAUGUAAAGAAAUGUUUCUGAAUGGGUCAAAAAGCCAUCAGAGCAAGACCAGCCUGGAAGCUCAUUCUGUUCUGGGCUAAUGUCUGCCUCGAUGGUAACCCCUAGUCAGAAGCUCCGCAGGAAGCAAUACCAAG